rnacentral:misc_RNA from 1 species
AUAAAUCAAACGACUUGUACCCUUGUGUGUGAUUUGAUUUUUGAUUUUGAGGAAAAUUGCUGCAUAUUUAUCUAACGCAUAAGUUGGGGUUAAGCCUUAAAGUAAUGUAUUAAUAGAUCAAACGAUUUGUACUCUUGUGUGAACGAUGACGUACGACUUGUCGUAGAAAACUUGCACUUGACAUCUCAUGGUUAUGAACCGGACUAAUUUUUUUAAUAAUGUUUUGCUUUAGUAUUUCGAAGCCGUUUUUGCGUGUCUAAUGGGAUGCAUCAACAGUACAAAAAAAUUAGGCGAUUUAAAAAGCGAAAACGUUUUUCGUGCUGUGAGACUUCACUCCGAAGUGGCAGAUCAAGGACGCACAGGAUAUCUGGAAUUAACACCAAGGGAGCUUAUUUUUCGUACGGGGUCUAAUCAACGUGUUGUAUGGGCUUUGCAACAUCUACGCAGAUAUGGGCUUAAUGGCGAUGUAUUCUCAUUUGAAGCUGGGCGUCGUUGUAUCACAGGCCCUGGCAUUUAUACUUUCCGUUGUCAACGAGCGGAGCAAUUGUAUCAUAUAUUUCAAACUUAUAUAAAUGCAGUUUCCCUUGUGACAGACGAUGCAUUUACAUUUAGCGAACGGGAGCGUGACCAUCCAUCACAUACAGUGGGUAGACCAGAAACUGUUCAAAAUGCAAAUAACUAUUUGGAACCUGCACCGUUAGUAAGUUCAGGGGCUGCAGUCUCGAUUUUACAGCGUUCUCGAGUGCUUCGGGAUUCAUUCAGUAGUAGUCCGCUAAGUUUGGACUCGCCAGAUUCAGUUCCAAGUUUAUCAUUUGCCACAAGCGAAGUAGUGCAUAUUCAAAGUCCACGUUUUCCUUCUGGUCUCGGUAUGUAUGUGAAUACCCCGAAUACAUCUAUGCCAGUUCCCAAUAGCAAUGUGUACUCGGAAUAUCCUCUGCGGUCGCACGUAGAACACAACAAUAAUUUAUCAAACGCUUCCAAUGGUGUAUUUAAUACUUUAGUUCGAAAAAAUUUGGUGAAGCACUCUUCUCUAGAUAUUCCACCAGAUGAAUUUGCGCCUAUGCUUACACCACCAUCGGAUGCAUUACACAUGUAUGCAAACGUUGAUAGCUGUUCACUUGCUGCCAAUAAUUUUGGUUUUGGUGGCAUAGCAGGAAUGCGUAAUCUGAUACGAGAUCAAGAACGCUGCUAUGAAAAUCUAAAUAGUGAAGAGAUGAAGUUAAUUCUACCAAAGCAAAAUUUGUCGUCUUCAACACCCGGAAGGAGUCAUAGCGGAAUAGAUAUUCCCUGUGAUCCUCAAUUAAAGCAAACGAAAUCAGCAGGAACAAAUGCAGUCAAUUAUAUUGUUCUUGAUUUAGACCAACCUCGAAGUCCCACACAAUGUUCCCCCAAACUACAAGUUGGAAGUGGUCUUUCUUUAACUGCCGUUGAUGGCGCUGAUGGAAGUAUGAAAUUGGCUUCAAAAACAGAAUCACUUACUGAUUCAACACAUACUAGUGUAACUUCAACGACUAAUCCAUUGGCUAUUACGACAGCAACGAUUACAAACGUGACAAAUACAACGAAACAAAAUAGUGGUAGUGUUGAGCAAUUGGAAAAGAAGGAAGAAUCUACGCUUGGUUACUCGACUAUAGAUUUUAUAAAGACUUGUGCACUUAUUAAAUCAUCAACUCACGGUGCAGAUUUUGAUGCGGAACCAGGCAAUGAAGAAAGCAGAAUAACCCGACAUAGUAAAUGUGUGCGAAAAGCUUACUCUAUUAGUGAAUAGGAAAAAUUGGUACUUUCUCAGCGCUUUAAUAUUGCGAGAACACGUUUCGUGAUUUAAAAAAGGAACUUUUUCAUGCCAUAAAUGUACUAAACUUAUGAACUAAGUUAUUACAAUUGGGCGAUAUAAAAAAAUGAAUUAUUAUUUAAAUAGAAAAAAUCAAAGCUUAAUGAAUGGUCAGGUUCAUUAGUUUCAAAAAUUCGAGCAUUUAUAAGACAAAACAAAAAUAAUGUAGCCAAAUUCUGCGUUACCAAUGGUUUCUUAUUUAUUCUUUCAAACGGCGAAAUGCAGCGUGAAUUGUCCUCUUUGGAACUUUCUUGCUUUUAUGUGCGUAUACAUACAUACAUAUAUAAUCCAUGAACAUGUCAAUGUAUGUAUAUAAUCUUAACAUUUUCUAUUGCAGUACAGUGUACCAGCAUUUAGUACAACAAUAUAGUUAUAAGAAACCUAAAGUUGAUUUGGAAUUCGUUUAGAGAUUUUUAAUACACAUAUACAUAUGUAUGCCGACACCGAGUGUCUGUAUUUAUCACAUACAGAGCAGAAAUAAAGGUAUACUGGAUGUACAUAUUU